GUGAAAAAUUUUCUGAACAGCCAGUUGUAAGCAGUCAGGCUGGGACUGUGUACCAGUCUGUUGCACAAGGUUCUUUGCUUAAGUGUCUUUCACCUCUGUUCAGCUUCUGGAAACUUCAGGGCUGGGAGAACAAACCAGUCAAGAUCAUGAUGUAUUAAACAAGUGUGUAUAAAACCUGGGUGCAGAGACAUCCAUUCAUAUCUGACACCUUUCCCACAAGCCGUGGCAGAGGCAUUUUCAUAGGAGGAGCUGUGGUGAAGUGUCCCACAACUGAGCAGUUUGCCUUUUGACAAUUUGCCCUUUGGUCAUGGAGCAACAUCCAGAUUUCUCAUGGUCAGCCGAGCACUGUGGACAGCUCUGCAGGCAUGUCUGGCAAUUGCAUGGAGUCACCAGGAUAACAGAAAAUAGCACGAAAUGCCUUCAGCUUUCCAGAGAUGAGCUUUUCAAGGUCAGUAUCAGUAUUUUUAUUGCCUUGCCAAAACCCAAAUAUGUUCCACAUUCCACCUGCUUCCCUUCCAGAAGUCUGAAAUGAUUAAGAUUCCUGUUUGGUGAGUUUUUCCUAAAAGAUUUUUGGUUUUGAAUUCUUGGUCCUCCAUCAAUCAUAGUAUUGUGAAAAUGCUUAUUUCUGCCAUCCCUCCUCCUUCCAGUGUUCUUUUCAGGAGGUACAGAAUAGCAUAACAAUCUCUGAGAAAUAUUAAGACUUUCAAAUGGUGAGUGUUCUUCAAUUAUUCAUUCUUCUCCUUUUUUUUCCAUAAACUGCAGAUGUUUAAGAAGUGAUAAUUAGAAGAGCCUCCUGUUUUUGACAGAUGCUGCCCUAUAACUGACUUCAUGUAUCCAGCAAAUACCGACUGUGAGGACUGUAAAGGGUUAUUACACAUAUUUUGUCCUUAAAUUUAUAGCACUUUUUUUCAUUGUUAGUUUUAAAAUACAGAAAUUCUUGGUGACAAACUGCAGUGGUAUUUGCAGAGCAGUUCACUUUUCAUGCUUGCUGCACAGGUUUUGCAUGACUUGCAUUUCACCAGAUAUGGUUCUGGGUUUAGGUGCAAGUGGUGUUUGAAAGUCCUUAGUUAACAGAAUAAAAAACGAAACAAAUGAAAAAUUUGCAAGUGCAUCAUCUGAAAAGACCAAGCUCUGUAGUGUUGUAAACUUUGAUAUUUUCAUCAUUUUCUACUGCAGGAAGGAAAAAUACUUGGAUGGUGAUGUAAAAUAGUUUAUUUGAACAUAUUUUGGACCGUUUUGUCUACCCUCAUAAAAUUGCAGGAAAACAUAAAUUGCUUCAACUACAAGUAUUUUGAUCCUUAUCCAAAAUAUUUACUGUAAUCUUAAGGCUUUUGCAACAUUGUGUCUAUUGAAGCAGCAAAAGUAUUGGAGAGUUCUUCUGACUUGUUUAGCACAGUAUUAAAGAAAUAAAGGAAGUUGCUGUAAAAACAAGAGGAACAGUGUUGUCUGGCUAUGCCUUGUACCACUGAUCUCUUACCAUGAUCGAGGAUUGUUCUGAUGAGAAAGGAAAUUACUAGUC